GAUGAACGCUGGCGGCGUGCUUAACACAUGCAAGUCGAACGAGAAGUGAAGACGGAAACCUUCGGGCGGAAGGCUUUAUUUCGAGUGGCGGACGGGUGAGUAACGCGUGGGUAACCUGCCUCAUACAGGGGGAUAACAGUUGGAAACGACUGUUAAUACCGCAUAAGACCACAGCACCGCAUGGUGCGGGGGUAAAGACUCCGGUGGUAUGAGAUGGACCCGCGUUCGAUUAGCCAGUUGGCGGGGUAACGGCCCACCAAAGCGACGAUCGAUAGCCGAUCUGAGAGGAUGACCGGCCACACUGGGACUGGGACACGGCCCAAACUCCUACGGGAGGCAGCAGUGGGGAAUAUUGCACAAUGGGGGAAACCCUGAUGCAGCGACGCCGCGUGAGUGAAGAAGUAUUUCGGUAUGUAAAGCUCUAUCAGCAGGGAAGAAAAUGACGGUACCUGAGUAAGAAGCCCCGGCUAACUACGUG
rnacentral:rRNA from 1 species